GUUUUGAUGGAAUAUCAGUGCUUAAAUGGUUCAUUUGAAGAGGAUUUGUGAUUAUUGGAUUUAGCGUGUUUGAAAAUAAAAGGGGCUUGAAAAGUGAUUUUAAUUGCACAAAUUAUUCUUGGAUGUUCUAAUAUUUGUUUGCCCAGUUGAAAUUAGAGUUUUAUUGGUCCAAAUUACAAUUUAAGGCCUAAAAUCAUAUUUUAUUUGGAAAAUCAUGUACAGAUGGGCCAAACAGGAAACCUUUACCCUUACACCUCCUAAAAUCCCUACAUACACUCCUAUUUCUGAAAUAUGCCAACAACCAAGCCCAAACACUAAGCCUUUUCUCUCCUAUAACCCCUAAUUUCCUAUACACACCCCUCCUACCACUAAUUAAGCCAGAUAUCAUUAGAUUUUGCCAUGUGGCAAUCCACCACUAAUAGAUCCAACCACUCAGAACAUGCCACCUAACCCCUCAUGCCACGUCAUCACCAUCUUCUCUAACAGAGAAACCCUAAUCCAACCAAACCCUAGUCGCCGGCCACCACCAUCUUCCCUACGCCGCAUCACCGCAACCACCAUGGCGCGCCGACCAACCACCGUGCCGUUGUGAAGCCGCCUGGAAGACGCUGUCGUUGUCGCGCCGCAAGCCUCCGUCACCACCACAUUCUCGCGCCUUCUCCAUCAACGCCAAAUAUGUCGUCGUGUAACCUCCAUGGACAUCAUCAUCUUUCUCGCUUCAACCAUCAUCGCGUAUCAUCUCCUCAUUACGCAGCCGCCAUCGUGAGUUUUUCAGGCCACCAGUCUUCACCGCCACCAACGUCCUACAGGAAAAACCAAAAAACCCAAAGUCGCGGCUUGAAAUUUCCUCCAUCGCAGCACCUUCGUCUUUGAGGAAAUCCAGAAUCUCAUCGCUUGCCUCCAUUCAGACCUGUAAACCCAGCGCCAUCAUCCAUUCGCGUGAGGCAGAA
rnacentral:lncRNA from 1 species